UACCCGUGGAGGAAGCCACGGCUAACUACGUGCCAGCAGCCGCGGUAAUACGUAGGUGGCAAGCGUUGUCCGGAAUUACUGGGUGUAAAGGGAGCGUAGGCGGGAUGCCAAGUUGGAUGUGUAAUACCGGGGCUCAACUCCGGGGCUGCAUCCAAAACUGGUAUUCUUGAGUGAGGUAGAGGCAGGCGGAAUUCCUAGUGUAGCGGUGAAAUGCGUAGAUAUUAGGAGGAACACCAGUGGCGAAGGCGGCCUGCUGGGCCUUAACUGACGCUGAGGCUCGAAAGCGUGGGGAGCAAACAGGAUUAGAUACCCUGGUAGUCCACGCUGUAAACGAUGAUUACUAGGUGUGGGGGGUCUCAAGCCUUCCGUGCCGGAGCUAACGCAAUAAGUAAUCCACCUGGGGAGUACGACCGCAAGGCUGAAACU
rnacentral:rRNA from 2 species